CGGCCUCGUGAAUUGCGCGGGGAUCGCGUCGCUCGAAUCGGCGCUCGAAGUGAGCGCCGCGCAUUUCGAUCGCGUGAUGGCCGUC
rnacentral:tRNA from 1 species